rnacentral:lncRNA from 1 species
UUUCUGUUUGUGCUGGUGCCAGGAAAUAAUAAUAACAAUAACAGCAAUAACAACAACAACAACAACAACAAUAAUAAUCAUGACUAUUUAUUAUUACACACACGCCUCCUCCCGAUGGAGGAGUUCGUGACAUUUACAUUCAUACGCACAAGUAAACUCAUAAAUUUAAACGAAUUUUUACCGACCAAAUUUUUUUUUCAUUUUCUCAUUCUUUGGACAUGCAUGAAGGAUUAUGUUGGACACUUGAAGGCCUGAACGGUGCACAAAAGUGCACAGCAACGAUUUUUUUUCCACACACGUCACGCUUAUCAACAGCCGACAGCGCUCCGGAAGUGGUCCGCCCUGGGUUUGGGGUGAAGGUCACAUGCAUGAAUAAUUCUCGAAAGUCCUCCGAGGGUAGUGGACUAGAAGCAUGCACGUGUCUGUCUUGUCACAUACUCGUAUGUGUUCUGUCUUUCCCCUCAUGGAGGUUCCUUGCUCGUUCCCCAGAAUCCCCCCGUCACAGAUUCAUCAUCAGGACACGUCGAUGUUUAAUGUCAAUGAACAUGCUCAAAACACUUUCUCGAAAUACUUCCUGCAUUAUUACCCUCCACGUGUACACAUUUUAACACUUUGUGAACAGGGUAGAAUAAUAAACAUCCAAGGGCAUAUCUACAAACUUCAAAAACACUCUAGAGAAAUGUUUGCGACUCUCGACAUCAUCGAACUGCUCACAAAAAAUGUACCCACACUUCAAAAGCUCGACAACCACUCACUCAAACUGCUGCCAAAAGCUUUUGCCAGCAGGGCUUAGAAAUCUUAAUUAUAUCUCGCUUAAUAAUCCCGAUAUUGCCUGGGUGUAAAUAUUGUCCUCGCUCCACUACCCGCGUGUCUACCUGUCAACUCUCGUGACUCCAAGGACGAGCGCGAGUUAAAAAUGUCGAGGACUAGUAGCAACACGUCUAUUGUCAACACCUAGAAUAACUAACUAAAUACAUACAUAAAUAUACAAAUAAAAAAUAAAUAAAAUGACAACCAACGGAAAAUACGAUGUAAUACUCGUAAAAGUGACAUCCUCCCUCCACACCAGCCUUGACCUCUGACCCGUUGUGAAAUCUUUCCCCAGUCAGACCUGUUUGCGAGGUGUUGUUCACAACAUUCAUAGAUGAAACAAUAAUAAUAGGAGGCAGCAUGUGCGCAAUUUGUUCGCAUGUCGCCCAUGCGUGCGACACCACACUACCUACGUGUCACGACGCGUCGCACGUGCAGUUUGUUUCCGUCUUCGCCGCCAUUUUGCGUAGUUUCUCGACUCGUUUGUUACAUACAACGAGAAACAUGUCAACACCAUACUGUUGUUCCUCAACUAUUUUGGACGCAGUCCCUGAACACCUCAGCUGUUGGCAAGACUGAUGGCACGAGUAUCUGGGGUGGGUCGGGUGGGCUGGGUGGAUGGAUGGAUGCAGCUUCCUCAAAGCUCGCAGACUUCUCGGGGUUGAAGCAAAUCGAAGAUGUAGGUGAGGUGUUUUAUUGCCAUAUUUUUUUUAAUCGCUCCACUUCAUAAGGGGCAUUACACUUGGCGCAUAUCCAGGACAUCAGCUGAUAGUGAGGAUGUAAACACCGCGAGUCAAGGAGACAAGGGGGCGCUGCGCCGUGACGUCACGCCCCGUGUUUAUGUGCACGCACACGCGCAGCACGAGAACGAGUGCACUCCUCCUGCCCACGAUCGAUGGGGUUUCCCAGCGUUCGUCAGCAGCCAACUGCAAUUAAAAAUAAAAACAAAAGAGUUGGGAAUAGAAGGAAAGAAGGAACCUGUAAACAGGAAGGAGAGAAGAAGCAGAAGGCCGGCCAGCGAGCGGCGUGGAGAUAUUGAUCAGGCGAGCAGGACAAACAGCAAUGAAGUAUCUCUGGUAGUACCUAGCCGUGGUCACAGGACAGUGGAGACUACUGGGGGCGUGGCCAGUCCACCCUGAUUAGUUAAUCAGGCCACAAUGCAAUCAGCGAGCGAGGGUGACGGUGCAUCAAGACAUGUUUAUAAGGCCUCUCCAGGUGUCACACAGGGCGACAGGACUCCAGGCAUGUCAGGUGACCUAGACACGUGACCAAAUUCAUUCUAUGUGCUAUAAUUGGCGAGCUGCGAGAGGAUGUUGAGUGAUUUAGAGCUUCACCGUCCCAAACCGGAAGUGCACAUCCUGGCCGGUUCGAAUCCCUUGUGGUGCAGCGUACUUUCAUCACGUGAUCCAGCUGUUGAAUGAAUACCUGACUCCUUGGAGAGGUGGUGUGGGUGGAGAGAGGUACUGACUCAGGUGACCCUGGGUGUGUACCUGGAAGGAUGAAGGAGGGUCCCGUUACCGCUGACCGUGCAGGCAUUCGUGACGUGGGGGGUGAGUCACGUGCUCAGUCUCCCUCUUCUACCAUCACUCAAGACAUCGAUCCUUUUGAUUUCAUCGACCGCCAAACGUUCGAGUCCCUGUGAAGUAACGGUCCUGUGACGUCAGCAGAAUGCUAUGUCGGCUGCAUCGUGCUGCAAGGCGGGUGUCGGGCUGCCGCUGAUCAGAUGAUGUCGUGUGCUGCCUUCUCCAUUUCCUGCAGCAUUAUCGUCACGCUUGUUGACGAUCGUCAUCCAUCACCUGGAGAACAACAUGGUCCACGAGUCACGAACUGUGCGUUGUUGUCACAUUGACCUGUGAAAUGGGGAGAUAACUCAUUCUUCAUAGCAACACUACUUCCCCUUGUUAGGGAAUGUCAACGUUUUUGUUUACACUUCCUUUUUUUUUUCUUUGUUUUUGUUUUGCUUGCUUCUCCCAUAACACGUGACGUGUUUUCACCCAGAAUUCCUCGAAUUCUGCUGAAGUGAGUGCGAGAGAGAGUGUGAGCACGCGAUAUAACAGAAUAACAUUCCUGCAUCGCACGACAUAGGAGCCUGCAUGUCUGUCCUGCCAUCUGAAAGACGAGAAAGGAAAAAGGAAGUAAUAGAAAAAAGUGGAAACAUGAAGAAAAAGAAAACAGAAUAUCUUGCAACAGCACUAGUGGAAAGUGUAGAGACAAGUCACGUGACCACCAAUGGCCGCAUCGUCGUGUCGCCAUCAGAGCCGCCUCCACCAUCCACAAAAUGUUGGAACUGGAGUAGGCGGUGAGAGUGGUGGAGGUAAAUGCAGAUGUAGAGGU